rnacentral:rRNA from 1 species
AUACGGAGGGUGCAAGCGUUACUCGGAAUCACUGGGCGUAAAGCGCGCGCAGGCGGGCUGAUAAGUUGGGUGUGAAAGCCUACGGCUCAACCGUAGAACUGCAUCCAAAACUGUCAGUCUAGAGUCUGGGAGGGGAAGAUGGAAUUAGUUGUGUAGGGGUAAAAUCCGUAGAGAUAACUAGGAAUACCAAAAGCGAAGGCGAUCUUCUGGAACAGUACUGACGCUGAGGCGCGAAAGCGUGGGGAGCAAACAGGAUUAGAUACCCUAGUAGUCC